UUCUGCUUAAGGGGAUGACAGUCUACAAUUGAAGGAAGACAAACACCAGAUUUGGUAUGGGGAUAAAGUACGACCAUAAUGGAGAAUGAGAAUCUCAAAAAAAUCAAAUAUGAAGAUGCAGGAUAUGCAAAUUAUGAAAUUAUAUGAAUGUAUAUGUAUACGUAUAUAUGGUGAUCAUGCUGACAAAACGAUCACAAAGGACACAGAGGUGUCGCAAAGAAAUUG
rnacentral:lncRNA from 1 species